rnacentral:misc_RNA from 1 species
CCGAGUUCUAAACUCCCAAACCCCUGUGAACAUACCUAUCGUUGCCUCGGCGUACGCGCCCCGGGCCCCCCGGGCACCGGAACCCGGCGCCGCCAAAGGACCUAAACUCUUGUAUUAGUACGUAUUCUGAGUGACACAAGCAAAUAAAUCA